AUUACUUUAGUACUUCGGUACCACUUUCUGAGCUAGAUUUUCUUUGUUUAAUAUACAAAAUGGUGAGCGCGAAAAUCCAACUCUAGUGGAGGCUGUGGAGAUGACCAGGGGAAAUAAAUGACACGGCAAUUGCUGACAAGUGAAGAUGCCUGACUUCUGUGCAGCCUACGGAUGCGUCAAUCUACGAACUCUCCAAACGAGAACCCGUGGGCUCACCUUUCACCUGUUUCCCAAAAACAAAACGAGAAGGAUUAAGUGGGAAAUGGCCCUAAGAAGGGACAGUUUUGCUGCUUCUGACAGGUCACUGCUCUGCAGUGACCACUUCAGGAAUGAGGACUUUGACAGGACGGGGCAGACUGUCCGGCUUAGAGAUGGUGUUGUGCCAACCCUUUUCAACUUCCCAGCUCGUCUUCAAAGGGUACGUGUAUCAUUGACCA